rnacentral:rRNA from 1 species
CCUACGGGAGGCAGCAGUAGGGAAUAUUGGGCAAUGGAGGCAACUCUGACCCAGCCAUGCCGCGUGCAGGAUGAAGGCGUUAUGCGUUGUAAACUGCUUUUAUAUAGGAAGAAAGAGUUCUUGCGAGAACAGUUGACGGUACUAUAUGAAUAAGCACCGGCUAACUCCGUGCCAGCAGCCGCGGUAAUACGGAGGGUGCAAGCGUUGUCCGGAUUUAUUGGGUUUAAAGGGUGCGUAGGCGGUUUAUUAAGUCAGUGGUGAAAGACGGUCGCUCAACGAUUGCAGUGCCAUUGAUACUGGUAGACUUGAGUGAGAUUGAGGUAGCUGGAAUGGAUAGUGUAGCGGUGAAAUGCAUAGAUAUUAUCCAGAACACCAAUUGCGUAGGCAAGUUACUAAGUCUCAACUGACGCUGAGGCACGAAAGUGUGGGUAUCAAACAGGAUUAGAUACCCUGGUAGUCCACACUGUAAACGAUGAUAACUAACUGUUGGCUUUCGGGUCAGUGGUACAGAGAAAUCGUUAAGUUAUCCNCGUGGNGGACGCGCGACGAGAAGUAAAGUAGAGUAGAGNGNGAGAGAGCGACGGACGACGACGAGGGAGGAGG